CGCGGCGCGGAAUGGUUCUAAGGCGGGGCUCAUAUCCCCGCCUCGCGGGUUCGACUCCCGCCGCCGCAACCA
rnacentral:tRNA from 1 species